rnacentral:tmRNA from 1 species
GGGGGCGCACCGGUUUCGACGGGGCCACGGAAGGUUGAGGCUGCAUGCCGAGAGUGUCAUGUUCUCUCGUAAAAUCACUUGACGCAGAAACACAACUGCCAACAAUAACAACAACUUCGCUCUCGCCGCAUAAACACCGGUAGAGCUGUCCGGCCGGAAUGCAUUCCAAGGGCCCCGGCUGGGCAUAUAUGACUUGGAUAGUCCCGAAAGCGGCGCAGCGUCAGCCCGGGGGACGAUAAAUAAUCUCUUAAAGUCGCUGCCACUCCAUUGCGGGAAGGGCCUCUGGGUCUCGCUUGGAGCUGUAAGCCAGAGGACAAGCAUGUAGACGCUGAUACUGAGUAGUUUCGGACGCGGGUUCGACUCCCGCCGCCUCCACU